GGCUUUUUGUUUAAAAUUUAAAGUUUGACCUGCCCAUUGAAAUUUAAAAGGCUGCAGUAUUUUGACUGUACUAAGGUAGCAUAAUCAUUAGUUUCUUAAUUAGAAGCUGGAAUGAAUGGUUGGAUGAGAAAAUAACUGUUUCAAUUUUAAUUAUUAAAUUUUAUUUUUAAGUUAAAAAGCUUAAAUUUUUUAAAAAGACGAGAAGACCCUAUAGAGUUUUAUAAUAUAGAAUAAUUAUUGUUUUAGGAAUUUAAAUGUAAAUAUUUUUUUUUAUUUGGUUGGGGUGAUUAAAAAAUUUAUUUAACUUUUUUUAUUAUUAAUCAUAAAUUUAUGAAUAAAUGAUCCUUAUAUAAAGAUUAAAAGAUUAAAUUACCUUAGGGAUAACAGCGUAAUUUUUUUUUAGAGUUCAAAUCGAAAAAAAAGUUUGCGACCUCGAUGUUGGAUUAAAAUUAAUUUUUGGUGAAGAAGUUAAAAAAUUAAGUCUGUUCGACUUUUAAAAUUUUACAUGA
rnacentral:rRNA from 1 species